UGGGUCGACAAGACGGUCGCGUCGGCGGGUGCGAACCCGCCGCCGAGGAACGUCCGGGCUCCACAGAGCAGGGCGGUGGGUAACACCCACCCGGGGCAACCCGCGAGAAAGUGCAACAGAGAGCAGACCGCCACGGGUCGCACCCUCGGGUGCGACACGGGGUAAGGGUGAAACGGCGGUGUAAGAGACCACCAGCGGCUCGGGUGACCGGCCGGCUAUGUAAACCUCGCCCGGAGCAAGGUCAAAGAGGGGACGUCGAGGCUGCUCGCCGAGUCCCCGGGUAGACCGCUGGAGAGCUGCGGCAACGUAGUUCCGAGAGAGAUGGCCGUCCAUGGUGCUUCGGCACCGGGACAGAACCCGGCGUACCAGUCGGCCCAUUCG
rfam:Frigoribacterium sp. RIT-PI-h contig_1, whole genome shotgun sequence.